rnacentral:rRNA from 1 species
CCUACGGGCGGCAGCAGUGGGGAAUAUUGGACAAUGGGGGCAACCCUGAUCCAGCCAUGCCGCGUGUGUGAAGAAGGCCCUCGGGUUGUAAAGCACUUUCAGUGAGGAAGAACGCCUGGUGGUUAAUACCCAUCAGGAAAGACAUCACUCACAGAAGAAGCACCGGCUAACUCCGUGCCAGCAGCCGCGGUAAUACGGAGGGUGCGAGCGUUAAUCGGAAUUACUGGGCGUAAAGCGCGCGUAGGUGGCUUGAUAAGCCGGUUGUGAAAGCCCCGGGCUCAACCUGGGAACGGCAUCCGGAACUGUCAAGCUAGAGUGCAGGAGAGGAAGGUAGAAUUCCCGGUGUAGCGGUGAAAUGCGUAGAGAUCGGGAGGAAUACCAGUGGCGAAGGCGCCCUUCUGGACUGACACUGACACUGAGGUGCGAAAGCGUGGGUAGCAAACAGGAUUAGAUACCCCAGUAGUC